UUAAUUUUAUUUUAUGUCAGAAUAAAUGAAAUGAACUUAAAAUUCAUAAAUAAGAAAUA
rnacentral:tRNA from 1 species